CGCUUGCUCGCCCCGCUGUCUCGUUCUCAUCUCCCGGCAGAUGGAGCGUGCGCUCUGAGCGCUCCUCCGUUAUGAAGACCGUCCUCUUCCUCUUCCUCCCUUCAGCCCUGCAGACCACCUGGAUUCUACCUCCGCUCACCUUGGGGUUUGUUCACUCGGUGAACACAUUGGGGAACCCUGUAACAGCAGGGGGACGGCCAUGGAUGUCUUCGUGACUCGAGAGACAGCAAGUGUUUGGAAAAAUAGCUUCGUGUGCCGAGGACUUGAGGAGGACUUUGAGUUGGAACCACUCCCCAAUUUAUUGUUACGCCAUUCACCUCGAAAGACAGCCUCAUUUCCAGGACAAUGCUGCCGCCAGUGUGAGUAAAGCUUCUACAGGAGGGGAUAUCUUCAGCAUUUGAAUGCAAGAGGAAUGGUCCCAUUUAUUUCUCUCUCUCUUUAUAGUUAUAAUGCUGACAUAACAACACAGUAGCAUUGUACCUGUUUAAUUGCACAAUGUUAAAUAUGAUGUAAGUAGGAAAUUAUGCAUAUUAGUUAAUAUAUGAAAAUCCCUCAGCCCUCAAAGCGUACUUACGUGCACAAUUCCACUGUUACAUGACCACUGUAAGGUCGUCUUACUGUGGCACGUAUUCUCAUAAAUACAUGGAAUAUAAAAUAUGAGGACUGAAAAUUUUUACAUCAUUUCAUUUGUAACAUAAAUAUGUAACUCCUUUUCUGUGGAACUUGAAGAAGCAUGAGAUUAGGAAACGCAGGCCAAAAAUUUCUCCAUAAUGGACUCUCUACAUGGCAUCGUGGACAAAAUGGAGUCACUGGCCGUGCCAGACUCUGCAAACAGGAUUAGACCAGAGCGUGUGCUGCAUUCUAUUGUGGAGAGAGAGAGCUCCUCACACUGCUGAAUUAAAAUGUAUUAUUUUUAUCAUUCUCCUAUGGGGCUUGCUAAGCACCACAUAUAC